rnacentral:lncRNA from 1 species
CUUUGGGCAGUUUGGUGCUGUCAGAUAAUUGGUUUUACAGUCCCUUUAACCUAUUUAUUGGGUUAACAGCAUGCAUUAUACAAGCACAUUAUACAAGAGGAAGUUCUAUUACACUCAAUAUCAGCAUCACUGUGGCAUUAAAGGGAUAUUCUGGUGUAAAAUUAAGUUAGGGUCAAACACACCUUAACACAGAGUUAGACACCCUGGCGAGAGAUGAAUGUUGCCGACCGCUUGCUUCUCUAGUUAUACCAGCUUUAGCAACGACCAUAGAUAUCAAUACAGAGAGCCACGCGCUCAACCACAACACCACUCUAUAGCCACAAAUAAUGCUCAGAACAGCACCUAACGUCAUCAACAGUACAUAUAGCGUCCUAGCCACAGCACUAGCCACCAAACAUCUUUUUAACUUUGCCUGAUUUCUGUAGCAGUGAGACUAAACACAUCACCCACUCUCUUCCAGCAACCAUUUGUUUGUAUUUGUUUGUAUAAAAUAUUGAUAAUAUGACAAACUUUAAUAACAACCUUUAUUUAUAUAGCACUUUUCAGAACAGAGUUACAAGGUGCUUCACAACAUAAAAAAAGAAUAGAAAAGGAGAUAGAAGACAAUGAGAUUAUAAUAAAUCAGUCAACAGAAUAUACCACAGCAGGACAUCGAUACAACUGCCAAGACAAUCAGCCAACAGGAAUAGGAUAAAGCUCUAGUGAAGAGUUUUUUGAUGUUUAUGAAAUUUACUGAAAUUCAUAUUGAUAUUUUCAUGAUAAACCAUAGACUGAUCUCCUCAGGCAGUUUGUUCCAGACAGUGGGGGCCCUGACUGUAAAAGCCCAGUCCACUUUGGUCCUCAGCCUAGACUGUGGAUAGUCAGCAGACCUUUGACUGCGGACUUGAGGGUUUGACUGGGCUUGUAAGGCAUAAUCACAUCAGCAAUGUUCUUUGGGCUUUUAAAAUCAAGAUAGCUGUAAUAAAUGUUGGCUUUGCAGUGACAGAGAAGAAUACAGGGAUUUAUAGUAGUCCAGGUGCACAGAGAGGGCGGCAUAUAUGACUGUUUCGAGGUGUUUUUUUGGAAACAUGCAACUGAUUUUGGAAAGUCUUCUAAGCUGAUAAACCAUGUCUGAACUACUGAAAUGAUGUGAUACUCCAGAUUGAGGUUGUUAUUUAAAAUGAAUCCAACUGGACCGUGUAAUAUACGAUAAUCUGCCUCCACACUCCAUACCUCUUGUCCAAUCGAAUUGUUUGCAAGGAAACAACCAUUGUUGGCUUGUUAUGUCAUUUUUGUCCUUCUGGGCUCCCACACAACUGAUGUACAGUAUGUAGCAAGCACGCGCUCAUACACUCUGUCUGUCAUACCCACACACUGUAAGAACAUUAGUCUGGGGCUCAUGAGAAGUAGUUCAAGGCAAAACCUGGACAGUCUUUGCUAAAAGGUAAGACAAUUAUGGCAGAGAGAGCUCCUGAUUGGCUGUCGAUAUUGUAAUUUAAUGUUAUGGCUUGGCUCGGUCUUUGAACUAACUAUAACUGCUGCAUGUGUCUGUGUUUGUGUGAGGUGAUUCCUGUAAUAGUGCUACUGUAUUAAUAAUUAAGGUGGUGAUUUUACUGUGAAGCUGUGUUUCAGCAUAUAUGAGUGCAGAUUUCUGUGUGUGUUGGUGUGUUUGUAUGUGCUACGAGUGUUAAUGAUGACAGAAAAGGGAGCCUGAGAGGCCACACAGUUAAAUUAUGCAUGUAGUGUAAUUAGCCAAUCAAGUGUUUAAAUUAGAUGUUGAUGACUCUUUGCCACAAAUGAGAAGAUGACACUCCCUCAGGUCAAGGAGGGCUUCCCCCAACGACAAGAGCAAUGCCAAAGACAAGGAGCACAAUUAUCCCAGCGUUGUGCCCAAACAUGUUAAAUGUAGCUCGCUCUUUAUUGGGGUUAUGAAUUACAUGUUUUUGUCAUUGUGGUUUAUUUCAUUUAACCAUUUAAUUCAUUCUUUUACUAACGAAGCGAAAAGUGGCUAAUUAGCUUAUCUGAUAAACAGCUUUAAUUAUAUUCUCAU